rnacentral:rRNA from 1 species
ACUGACACUGAGGGACGAAAGCUAGGGGAGCGAAUGGGAUUAGAUACCCCAGUAGUCCUAGCGGUAAACGAUGGAAACUAGGUGUGGCCUGUAUCGACCCGGGCCGUGCCGGAGCUAACGCGUUAAGUUUCCCGCCUGGGGAGUACGCACGCAAGUGUGAAACUCAAAGGAAUUGACGGGGGCCCGCACAAGCGGUGGAGUAUGUGGUUUAAUUCGAUGCAACGCGAAGAACCUUACCAGGACUUGACAUUUCGGGAAUCCCUUUGAAAGGAGGGAGUGCCGAAAGGAGCCCGAAAACAGGUGCUGCAUGGCUGUCGUCAGCUCGUGUCGUGAGAUGUUGGGUUAAGUCCCGCAACGAGCGCAACCCUCGUCGUUAGUUGCCAUCAUUAAGUUGGGAACUCUAGCGAGACUGCCGGUGACAAACCGGAGGAAGGUGAGGAUGACGUCAAGUCAGCAUGGCCCUUACGUCCUGGGCGACACACGUACUACAAUGCUAAGGACAGAGAGCAGCCAACCCGCGAGGGUGAGCGAACCUCUUAAACCUUGGCACAGUUCAGAUUGCUCUCUGCAACUCGAGAGCAUGAAGGAGGAAUCGCUAGUAAUCGCAGGUCAGCAUACUGCGGUGAAUCCGUUCCCGGGCCUUGUACACACCGCCCGUCACACCAUGGAAGUGAGCCACGCCCGAAGUCCAUACUCUAACC